GGAGAUGGGCUGUAGCUUAGUGGUAGAGUAACUGCUUGGUACGUAGAAGGUCCCAGGUUCAAUCCCCAGCAUCUCCA
rnacentral:tRNA from 1 species